rnacentral:rRNA from 1 species
GUGGGGAAUCUUCCGCAAUGGACGAAAGUCUGACGGAGCAACGCCGCGUGAACGAUGACGGCCUUCGGGUUGUAAAGUUCUGUUAUACGGGACGAAUGGUACGACGGCCAAUACCCGUCGUAAGUGACGGUACCGUAAGAGAAAGCCACGGCUAACUACGUGCAAGCAGCCGCGGUAAUACGUAGGUGGCAAGCGUUGUCCGGAAUUAGUGGGCGUAAAGGGCGCGCAGGCGGCGUCGUAAGUCGGUCUUAAAAGUGCGGGGCUUAACCCCGUGAGGGGACCGAAACUGCGAUGCUAGAGUAUCGGAGAGGAAAGCGGAAUUCCUAGUGUAGCGGUGAAAUGCGUAGAUAUUAGGAGGAACACCAGUGGCGAAAGCGGCUUUCUGGACGACAACUGACGCUGAGGCGCGAAAGCCAGGGGAGCAAACGGGAUUAGAUACCCUGGUAGUCC